GCACGGGUACUUGUACCUGGUGGCGAGCGGCGGACGGGUGAGUAAUGCCUAGGAAUCUGCCUGGUAGUAGGGGGAUAACGCUCGGAAACGGACGCUAAUACCGCAUACGUCCUACGGGAGAAAGCAGGGGACCUUCGGGCCUUGCGCUAUCAGAUGAGCCUAGGUCGGAUUAGCUAGUUGGUGAGGUAAUGGCUCACCAAGGCGACGAUCCGUAACUGGUCUGAGAGGAUGAUCAGUCACACUGGAACUGAGACACGGUCCAGACUCCUACGGGAGGCAGCAGUGGGGAAUAUUGGACAAGUGGGCGAAAGCCUGAUCCAGCCAUGCCGCGUGUGUGAAGAAGGUCUUCGGAUUGUAAAGCACUUUAAGUUGGGAGGAAGGGCAGUUACCUAAUACGUGAUUGUUUUGACGUU
rnacentral:rRNA from 1 species